UGAAGUGGGCGUGUAUUAUAAUAUGAUAUUAUAAUAUUUUACAGUAUAAAGAUGGAGGAGUUCUCAGACUUUCCUAUCUCUCUCUCCUGUCAUUCAGGUAUCUCUCCUGCUGCUGACUCUAGAACUCAUCUCUCUCCUGUCAUUCAGAUCAACAUGAAGAUCUCUAUCUUUGCUGGUGUUCUGCUGAUCUCUGAUCUCUGAUCUCUGUGGACGGAGGUGACAAAGUGAAGCCAAUGCUGCAUGGUUUAGAAACCAGCUCAUUGGUGAGGAGAUGCAUGAAGACGACUGU